UUUCGGGGGUACACGAGUGGCGAACGGGUGAGUAACACGUGAGUAACCUGCCCUUGACUUUGGGAUAACUUCAGGAAACUGGGGCUAAUACCGGAUAGGAGCUCCUGCUGCAUGGUGGGGGUUGGAAAGUUUCGGCGGUUGGGGAUGGACUCGCGGCUUAUCAGCUUGUUGGUGGGGUAGUGGCUUACCAAGGCUUUGACGGGUAGCCGGCCUGAGAGGGUGACCGGCCACAUUGGGACUGAGAUACGGCCCAG
rnacentral:rRNA from 1 species